rnacentral:ncRNA from 1 species
GUUGUUGUCACAGUAAUUCUGCUCAGUACGAGAUGAACCGCAGAUCCACCCGUUUGGUUCAUGUGCUUGGCUGAUAAGGAAAUGGUGCGAAGCUGCAACCUAAGGGUUUAUAAUUGAACGCCUCUAAGUUAGAAUCCCGCCUGGAAAGCGACGGUGCAUUUGUGCCUCGGCCUCGAGAGGCGUAGCUAAGCGGCCGAGUGGCCUUGGAAAGAGCCAGAUUCCGACACGAGGUGACUUCAAAAGGCGGUGAAUCCUCCGCUUAAAAGGCGAGGUGCUUACCCAUUCGCAGACGACCUAGUUGAAGAUGUCGUGAUAACUAAAACAGUACACCUCACUGCGAUUUGUUGAGAGUAAGUUUCAAGAUCUAUCGGUU